ACGUAAUAGAUACCCCGGUAGUCCACGCCCUAAACGAUGUCUACUAGUUGUUGGUGGAGUAAAAUCCAUGAGUAAACGCAGCUAAACGCGUGAAGUAGACCGCCUGGGGAGUACGGUCGCAAGAUUAAAACUCAAAGGAAUUGACGGGGGCCCGCACAAGCGGUGGAUUAUGUGGAUUAAUUCGAUGCAACGCGAAAAACCUUACCUGGCCUUGACAUGCCACUAACGAAGCAGAGAUGCAUUAGGUGCCCGUAAGGGAAAGUGGACACAGGUGCUGCAUGGCUGUCGUCAGCUCGUGUCGUGGGAUGUUGGGUUAAGUCCCGCAACGAGCGCAACCCUUGCCAUUAAUUGCCAUCAUUUAGUUGGGCACUUUAAUGGGACUGCCGGUGACAAACCGGAGGAAGGUGGGGAGUGACGUCAAGUCCUCAUGGCCCUUAUGGCCAGGGCUUCACACGUAAUACAAUGGUCGGUACAGAGAGUUGCCAACCCGCGAGGGGA
rnacentral:rRNA from 1 species